CGGCUUAGAGUUUGAUCCUGGCUCAGAUUGAACGCUGGCGGCAUGCCUAACACAUGCAAGUCGCACGCGAAAGGGGGCAACCCCGAGUAGAGUGGCGGACGGGUGAGUAAUACAUCGGAAUCUACCCAGUAGCGGGGGACAACCCGGCGAAAGCCGGGCUAAUACCGCAUACGACCUACGGGUGAAAGCAGGGGACCGCAAGGCCUUGCACUAUUGGAUGAGCCGAUGUCCGAUUAGCUAGUUGGCGGGGUAAAGGCCCACCAAGGCAACGAUCGGUAGCUGGUUUGAGAGAACGACCAGCCACACUGGGACUGAGACACGGCCCAGACUCCUACGGGAGGCAGCAGUGGGGAAUAUUGGACAAUGGGGGCAACCCUGAUCCAGCGAUGCCGCGUGUGUGAAGAAGGCCUUCGGGUUGUAAAGCACUUUCGGUGGGGACGAACAAGG
rnacentral:rRNA from 1 species